GAAAAGCUUCCCAAGGCGCCAACCUUCAAGAUUUAAAGGGAAGUAGGGCUGAUUUAGCUCUGUUCUGGUUCUGUUUCUGCUCAGCAUUCUCAGGUCUAAGAUUCCUGGGUUGGCUUCUGAGAGGGAGGAGACAGCCACCACAGCAAGAACAGCACCAGGAGUUUUAGAUUAAAAAUGGAAAGCAGAGAGUAGGGGAUGAGGCCUGUGGGCUGAGGACUGCCUGGCUCAGAACGGUGGAGGGAGAAGGUCAAGAGGAGGAGGGGAGCCAUCAGAGCUAACUGCCCGUCACCUGCUUGCCUUCAGAAGAUGUGCCUUCCGGGACCUGGUGGAGAGCAGAUGCCAGUGAGGUGCCUGUGGAGAGAAGGAAGCGUUUUCAUGUUCAGCCACACUUCUGCGGUCAUGCAAUUGGGCUCCAGGUGUGUGGCUGUACUGUCUCCACUCCCUGGUGAUUGGAGGAGGCUGAUCACAGGUAACAGGGAAGAGGAAGAUGAUGAUGGCGGUGGUGGGGCUCCCUGUGAGUCUUGACCUGAACACUUUACCGUUGACCUUGCCUCUGGAACCUUCCCUGGUGGGGGCUCAUCAGGGCUGACAGAAUGGAGACAUGAUAUCUGGACUUGAGCAGCCACCUUGGACCACGAGAUGACAUGACAAUGACAGUGAAUUACAAAAUCAGAAGAUGACAAGUGGAGCCAUCAUAUCAACCCUGGGCUGUCUAUCUCUGGG
rnacentral:lncRNA from 1 species